CUCAACCGGGGCAUUGCUUGAUGAACUGCGUUUCUUGAGGCAGGUAGAGGUGCGCGGAACUCUUGGUGGAGCGGUGGAAUGCGUAGAUAUCAAGAGGAACGCCGGUGGAGAAGUCGGCGCACUGGGCCUGUCCUGACGCUGAGACACGAAAGCGUGGGGAGCAAACGGGAUUAGAUACCCCGGUAGUCCACGCUGUAAACGAUGCCUACUAGGUUGUGGCGGUUCUGACGCCGGCACAGCCGAAGCAGAAGUGUUAAGUAGGCCGCCUGGGGAGUACGGUCGCAAGGCUAAAACUCAAAGGAAUUGACGGGGGCUCACACAAGCGGUGGAGCAUGUGGAUUAAUUCGAAGCAACGCGCAGAACCUUACCUGGGUUUGACAUGCUUGGAUGCUCGCCUGGAAACAGGUGGAGCUGCUCUUCGGAGUGAAACU
rnacentral:rRNA from 1 species